rnacentral:misc_RNA from 1 species
AAGUCGUAACAAGGUUUCCGUAGGUGAACCUGCGGAAGGAUCAUUAAAUGAAGCAACCUAGGAGCCUGAGAUAUGGCCACCGGGCACACCUUCCACCCUUUGUUUAUCACACUUUGUUGCUUUGGCAGGCCUGCCUCCGGGCUGCUGGCUCCGGCCGGCGAGCGCUUGCCAGAGGACCCAAACUCUGUUUGUCUGUAACGUCUGAGUACUAUAUAAUAGUUAAAACUUUCAACAACGGAUCUCUUGGUUCUG